ACAUAGAUGCCCUCCUUCUGCACCUCCAGCGCCGGGGCGAAAUUGAUGCAAAAACAAGUGAGGAAGGUAUCCCUCCAAUUCAGAGAGGCAGCAACGAGCAGUCUUGUGCAUGCGGCGUGGGCAAAUGGAGCAGCUGCAAGGCAACCCAGUUGCUCCCAUAGCAAUACCAGACGAAUUAUUGCAUAUAUGCAACAAUGAACACACAGGCAAGAAAAAAGAGAGGUCCACUUCUAACUGCUGGGCGAGAUUCGUGAGUCUCCUACUGUGGAAAAAUAAAGUAAAGAAGACCAGAGAAUAAUUACAUUGUCAUCUGACCAGGCUAAUCUGCAGAAAGCGUGCAUGGACAGGGAUCGUCCCAGUAACCUCUGCGAAGAGAGGGCGCAUUUAAGGAGAUAUCUUCCUAUAUUUAUCUGCAGCAUCGAUGAUAUCAUGGGCAGUUUUUCUUCUUGUCUAACUAGAUCUGUAUCGUCAUCUAUGUUAGAAUAAUCUCUUCGGUUGACUCAUCCACGCUUGAUAUUAUUUAUGGAAUAGCAAAAUUUUAUUCAACCAGAACUAUUUAGAUCAUUCAUAUGAACAUUUAUCGAUUCUCUGUCAUUUUCAUUCAAGCGUAUGCAUAUUUUUGUGUUGAAUAACAUGUUUGUUGAUGUAAUGCAAGCCAAUAAUUUUCAUGGUCGUGCUACCUUUGGUAUUUCGUACUAUAUAAGAAUUAUGUAAGUAUUGUUCAAGUGAG